GAACACAACAUCCCACUAUUGUACAAAAGGCAAUUAAAAGUGUAUAAUGAAAUUUUUUCCUUUCUGGCCCAAUUCAAUUGACUAUUAAACACGUGGAAUUUUGUAUUUAGAUCUAUAUUUGAACAUCAGAAUUUCAAAGGUCUAGAGACCAUUAGAAGGUUUCAGUGGAAACAACUUAAACUCUUCUCUUUCAAGAUCAAAAUUGAUCCUCCAUGUUGACAGGUGGAAGUGGAGUUGGCAACAGUGACAUGCAUAUUUGAUAUUACUUUGGCCUCAAUUUGACCUCCAUUUUACGGCUUUCGAUUUGGAGAAACGUUUGGAGGAGAUAAACCAUUUUGAUCUGUCCAGGUACAACUUUGGCACUCAAGUCAAGGUAAUACUUGCAUCCUACAUGAUCUAUGGUUGGAUUUGCCUCAUGAAUUAAACUUUAAUAAGCUGAUUUUGCAAAGGCUCUGUCUUAAAGAGUCAAGUGGUUGAACGCUCCUCUCUAGAUAAGAAGCAGAAUGCGCCAUCACCUAGAGCCCUUUCCUCGAGGUAAACAAUAGAGAGAGGAAGAAGACGUAGAAGGGUCAAGAGAAAUGAUUACAACGAGGGUGGGCUUAAUUCAUUUGAUAUGAUUAGAAUUUUUUGGUUGGCAUAAAAUCAACAUUGAUAUCGUUACUUCUAUUUACUCAACUGGAUUCUUAUCAAGUUAAAUGAGUGAUGAUAUGUAUAAUCCAGAACAUAAAACAUGUUUUCUUGCAAGCACCAAAUCAACACUCGCUGAAGUCAUGCACACAACUGUUAAAGUUAGUUUGUCAUGUUGUACAAUGUCAAUAAAUUGCACAAGAAACAUGUAUGUACCAGCUUUCUAGAGAAAGAAGUCGAGUUGAUCUAGAUAAGAAGCUUGAGAAACUUGGAAAACCUAUGUAGUAAUAUUUGCAAGGAAACACAAGAAAGAAAAUAUUAUUUGCCUUUUACUACUUGUGCAUAAUUUUUUUGAAGAUUUUUAGUUGCUCUUCCAAAACAUCCAUAUGUAUUAUUUACACUCGGGUGAAUUAUACCAUCGAAUAAGCUUAUGCAAUAUUAAGUGUAUUUUUCAUGAGAUAUUUUUUCUCUUUUCUAAUUACUUUGGUACUAUGAAUAGCAUAAGGAAGUUGUAUCACAAGCAACUUAAAUUGUACUACUCUAAGCCAAGAAGAGUUAGACCAACUCUGCAAUUAGAACUUGUACAAAAAGCAAUAUAUAUUGUACAGUAAAUUUAACUCAGCAUGUAUCCUUUCAUAAUAAAGUGUAUGAAUGAAUAGGACAGUUGGUCUUACCAACCUGUGAUAUUUGUUGUUUCUCUAAAUUAUUAUUUUUUUGUGCGUGUGUGUGCGUGCGUGCGUGCGUGCGCGCGCGCGUUUGUGUGUGUGUGUUCCUUUUCAUUAAUCUUUGUCCCAAACUUGAAGAAAAUUUGUUCUGUUCUACAAAAUGAAAGGGCUCCAUCAGAAAUUUCCACUGGAACUUUAGUUACCUCAGGUAUGCAUUUCCGCUUUCCUUCUUUCUUUCCUUCUCAUUUUAGUUUUUAAUUUGAUUUAUUCCACCUUUAUUCUUUCGAUCACUAAUGUUUAAUACGGUUUUGGUUCACCUUUUGUCAAUUUUUCAUUUGAUGAGUUUGAUUUCUAUUUAUUUUUCAAUUUUGGUGUUUGGGUUGUGGUAAUGUUGCAUGCACUGGAUUUAAUCUUGAUUGGAUGCUAUUAUUUUUUACGUUCUCUCCUCCAUUUCUAUUUAUAACUUUGUAUUUCAAUUUAUUUUAUUUUCUUUGUUAUUGAAAUGUACUAUUUCUUCCACUGUGUUCUUGAUGUGAUUGUUUUUUCAAUUAUAUAAUUUUUCAUAUAGGCAUUCACAUGGACUUCGACAAGAAAAGGAACAAAAGAAAUUAAAAAAUCUGAUAUAUUGAUAUUGGAAACAUCGAGCUUAAUUCCAAAUUCUAAGCAUUUUCAGAUUAACACAAGCGAUGAUGUACCUAUAUGAUAACUUUAUGUUAGUUCAGUGCAUCUACAAGUGAUAAUGGUCAAAUGGGUCAAUUUGUUGAUCUCCACAACCAACUCCACAAGACUCUUGGAAAGAAAAGACGAUCUUUUAAGUGUUUGAGAAGGUGAUGGAAGAAAAAUAGUAUCUGGGGUGGCAAGACAAUUGAAGGAGUUACAUAUUUCUGUUUUGUAGCACUACGACACCUAUUAGACCAACUAUGUAAGGAAAUGACAAGGUAUUAAAAAUGUAUCUGGUGCUACUUCAAUUAAGUUAGUUUUACAUUUCUGAUAGUUAUAUUUUUUGUGUAAUAUAUGAAAUAUGAUGGAGAGAUUUUAUAUGUAUUCUCUUUUUAUUUGUAGAUAUCCUGUUAUGUGCAGCAUUUUUUUAGUUUAUUCUAUCUAUUGUCAUGUCAUGGAAGAUGAGGAGUCACCAAUUCCUUGAUAGCUCGCCGUGUCUUUAUGUACUCCGCUGAGUUUCAAGUUCUUAUGAAUUUUACUCCUUUAUAAUUCAAAGACGUUUUGGUACACUUUCUAAUUAGUACUUUUGGAUCCUUGCAUGUUAACAAUUAUACACUUGAGUGAGGUAAGUGAUCAACAAAAACAAUCAACAGAACAACAUGCAGGUCAAGCCAUGGAAAAGUAUUGAUUUUAGAUUCUCUGUGUUUAAGCCUUCAGGUGUAUUGCCCGUUUUAGAUUUGGCUUCUGAGGAGCUUGGUAGAACUUAGGAACCCUAUAUUUAAUCAGCUUUGAAGAUCUACGUAAGUAUGUGCUAUCUCACCUAUCAUUUUUGUCCAUUGAAGUUUUAAUUUCCCCCAGCGUUCUGUAGUUGAAGCAGAAGAAGGGAAAUCGAUAAUGUAACUAUAUCCGUGGUACCUUAGCAUGUUAAUCGUUGUUUUUGUUGUUGAUUUUCACUAUUCUUAUCCAAGGAAUCUGUUGCUAGUCAAUAUUCACUGUUCUCCUUCCCCAACUUGGCAACUGAUUGUAUUCUUGCAAUUGUUGUUUUUCUGCUGUCCUAAUAGCUACAUUAGCAAUGUAAUCUGCUAGUUGGUUUGCUUCUCUGAGUGUAUGCCUAAUUUGGACAUUAAUAUGCUACAUUAUCUCUUGACUAUCUUCAACUCUCUCACCUAUUUCCCAAGAUAUUCUCCAAUUUCUCAUUGGAUAUGACCAAUUCUUUCGAGUAACAUAAAAGCGUGUUUAGAUAAAAGAUGGACAUAAUCUUCCAACAAAUAAUGUGUCUAUUACUCAAC